AUAUUACUCCCUCCGUCCGGAAAUACUUGUCGCAUAAAUGGAUAAGCAUGGAUGUAUCUAGAACUAAAAUACGUAUAGAUACAUACAUUUCGCUGACAAGUAUUUUCGAACGGAGGGAGUAGAAC
rfam:Triticum aestivum genome assembly, contig: Triticum_aestivum_CS42_TGACv1_scaffold_080124_1DS